AUUGAACGCUGGCGGCAGGCCUAACACAUGCAAGUCGAACGAGUGGCGGACGGGUGAGUAAUGUCUGGGAAACUGCCCGAUGGAGGGGGAUAACUACUGGAAACGGUAGCUAAUACCGCAUACCCUCGGAUGUGCCCAGAUGGGAUUAGCUUGUAGGUGAGGUAACGGCUCACCUAGGCGACGAUCCCUAGCGGGUCUGAGAGGAGGACCAGCCACACUGGAACUGAGACACGGUCCAGACUCCGACGGGAGGCAGCAGUGGGGGAUAUUGCACAAUGGGCGCAAGCCUGAUGCAGCAAUGCCGCGUGUAGGAAGAAGGCCUUCGGUUUGUAAAGUACUUUCAGCGGGGAGGCGUUACCCGCAGAAGAAGCACAGGCUAAUUCCGUGCCAGCAGACGCGGUAAUUC
rnacentral:rRNA from 1 species